UACAGAGGUCUCAAGCGUUGUUCGGGUUCAUUGGGCGUAAAGGGUGCGUAGGCGGCGCGGUAAGUCGGGUGUGAAAUCUCGGAGCUUAACUCCGAAACUGCAUUCGAUACUGCCGUGCUUGAGGACUGGAGAGGAGACUGGAAUUUACGGUGUAGCGGUGAAAUGCGUAGAUAUCUGGAGGAACACCGGUGGCGAAGGCGACAUCCUGGACCGGUAUUGACGCUGAGGCGCGAAAGCCAGGGGAGCAAACGGG
rnacentral:rRNA from 1 species